rnacentral:rRNA from 1 species
GUAGGUGGCAAGCGUUGUCCGGAAUUAUUGGGGCGUAAAGCGCGCGCAGGCGGUUCUUUAAGUCUGAUGUGAAAGCCCACGGGCUCAACCGUGGAGGGUCAUUGGAAACUGGAGAACUUGAGUACAGAAGAGGAAAGCGGAAUUCCACGUGUAGCGGUGAAAUGCGUAGAGAUGUGGAGGAACACCAGUGGCGAAGGCGGCUUUCUGGUCUGUAACUGACGCUGAGGCGCGAAAGCGUGGGGAGCAAACAGGAUUAGAUACCCUGGUAGUCCACGCCCGUAAACGAUGAGUGCUAAGUGUUAGGGGGUUUCCGCCCCUUAGUGCUGCAGCUAACGCAUUAAGCACUCCGCCUGGGGAGUACGGCCGCAAAGGCUG